UAUGUCAUGGUCAACCUUCAGUUGCUUCUUUUGGAAGUCUCAGUGUUAUCAAAGUAAAAAAUUGCGUCCAGUUAAAGUAUCUUUUCUCCUUUACAAUGGUUAAAGGACUUUCUCACCUUUGUAAGAUUGAAGUUUGUGAGUGCAAUUCUAUGAAGGAGAUAGUGUUCAGAGACAACAAUUCAAGUGCUAAUAAUGAUAUUACUGAUGAAAAAAUCGAGUUUCUUCAAUUGCGUUCUUUGACUUUAGAACAUUUGGAGACACUUGAUAAUUUCUUCUCAUAUUAUUUGACACAUUCUAGAAAUAAGCAAAAGUGUCAUGGUUUAGAGCCGUGUGAUUCUGCACCAUUUUUUAAUGCUCAGGUAUGUUAUUUUGUUUUUAAGUUUCUCUCGAUACAAAUGAUAAAAAUUUUAAUAUCAAUUUUCAAUAUAUAUAUAUAUAUAUAUAUAGGGUGUAUCAAAUGAGAGGAGUGUUAAAAUGAGAGAUGAUAGCAUUAAAGGACAGCCGUUGGAGAGGAGAAGGCGAGAGAAGAAAGCAAAAGCGGAAAUGAAGGGAAUAAAAGAGAUUACAGGCUGCAGAUUUAAAAAUUAAGUAACACAAUUAAGAUGGAUCCAAGGGUUGUGAUUUAACCCUAUCAUCUCUCAAUGUAAAUAUUGCUCUCAUUUGAUACAUCCCAUAUAUAUAGGUGUGUGCGUGUGUGUGUGUGUGAGAGGCCUAUCGUUAUAGUCACCAUAUCACCAUAUAUACGCCUUCAAUAAUGUUUUUGUUAAUUUGUUUUUACGUAGGUUGUAUUUCCUAAUUUGGAUACCCUUAAAUUUAGCUCACUUCUCAAUUUGAAUAAAGUCUGGGAUGACAAUCAUCAAUCAAUGUGCAACUUGACUAGCUUGAUUGUGGAUAAUUGUGUUGGAUUGAAGUAUUUAUUUCCCUCUACUUUGGUUGAAAGUUUUAUGAACCUCAAACACCUUGAAAUAAGUAACUGUCAUAUGAUGGAGGAGAUAAUAGCUAAAAAAGACAGAAACAAUGCAUUGAAAGAGGUAUGAUAAUUUUUUUUUUUUUUGAGAGAAGGUAUGCUAAUUCUAUUAUUGGAGCAUCCAAUUAAUUUUAAAUAAUUAUUUAUACUGAUGGUGGUUAUUUAUGAAUUCAUAGGUUCGUUUUUUAAAUUUAGAAAAAAUCAUAUUGAAGGAUAUGGACAGCUUGAAGACAAUAUGGCAUUACCAAUUUGAAACAUCCAAGAUGUUGGAAGUGAACAAUUGUAAGAAAAUUGUGGUGGUUUUUCCUUCUUCAAUGCAAAAUACAUAUAAUGAGCUUGAGAAGUUGGAGGUUACAAAUUGUGCUUUAGUUGAAGAGAUAUUUGAAUUGACUUUCAAUGAAAAUAACAGUGAAGAGGUUACAACACAUUUGAAAGAAGUUACUAUAGAUGGAUUGUGGAAUCUGAAAAAGAUAUGGAGUGGAGAUCCGGAAGAAAUUCUUAGUUUUCAAAAUCUAAUAAAUGUAAAAGUAGUAAAUUGUGCAAGCUUGGAGUAUUUAUUACCAUUCUCCAUAGCCACUCGUUGCUCACAUCUCAAGAAACUUGGUAUAAAAUGGUGUGAAAACAUUAAGGAAAUUGUUGCAGAGGAGAAAGAAUCUAGCUUGAGUGCAGCUCCCAUAUUUGAGUUUAAUCAACUAAGUACUUUAUUGCUUUGGAACUCACCUAAACUCAAUGGUUUCUAUGCUGGAAAUCAUACUCUAGAAUGUCCAUCAUUGAGAGAAAUUAAUGUCUCUAGAUGUACAAAGUUGAAAUUGUUCAGAACACUAUCUACAAGAAGCUCCAAUUUUCGAGAUGACAAACCCUCUGUUUUAACGCAACCACCACUUUUCAUUGCCGAAGAGGUACGAAUAAUAAACACUCUGCAGGACUUGUUUUUAUUUUAUUUUACAUUAAGGAGUUAGCGUUAUUCUUUAAUCUUUUGAAAUACCGAUCAACUACUUCCUCUGAUCCUAAAUAUAUGAAAAGUAUCUUUUCUUUAGGUUCCUUGAAUAAUUAAUGCAUUUGAACUAUACUAUAUAAACUAAAUACAUCGUUUAUUCAAUGAACCUAAAAAUAAAAAUUUCUCUGAUAUUUAGGACCAGGAGUAUUACUAUUCAUUUAUAAAUUUGGAAAAAUUUAAAACUACCCAAAAACUUUAUAAAAUGACAAAGCCUAUUUAAUGUCAAAAGUUAUUAAAAUAUUUUACAUUAUAGAUAUCUCCCUACGGUCUCGAAUGUGAGAAACAAAACAAAAAAUUUGAUGGUCUCAAAUAUAAGCAAAAAUAUACAAAAGUCGUCCUAUUAAAUGUUGCUAUUCCAAUCUCACCCUCAUUAUCUUUAUUUAAUUUGUUUCACAUUCCCAUGUUUAACACUUUCUAAAGAUUAUUCAUUGGUUUAGUUCAAAAGUCAUGUUUUCUUGUAAAAUGUUUCUAUCAUUAAUGUUUGAAUGUGUACUACUUGAGAAAUAACUCCAGAACAAGGGAAAAAAAAAUAGAAAAAUGGUAUUUUUUUAUAAUGACUUAAAUACAGUCAUUCCACUUUCUUCGUAGGUGUUCCUUUUUUUUUUCCUUACAUUCAAGAUCGGAAGGAGUACUUGAUAAUUUCUAUAACAAAAAUAACAACUAGCAAGAGUGGCAUUUAAAUACAAAAUUGAUAUAUUUGAGUAUAAAAGAAAUUGAAAAAAGUAUAGAGAUAUUGGCAAAAAUUAAAAAGACAAAUUUUAGUCAAUAGUAAUUAUUGUUUCACUCAAUAAUAAAAUGUUUAAUUCUCUUACAUUGUUGUUUAAAUAUGUUUUAGGUGAUUCCAAACUUGGAGCUGUUGAGGAUGGUACAGGCAGAUGCUGACAUGAUAUUGCAAACUCAAAACUCAAGUGCCCUCUUUAGCAAAAUGACUUCUAUUGGCUUGACUAGCUAUAACACUGAAGAGGCAAGAUUUCCUUAUUGGUUUCUUGAAAAUGUGCAUACUCUUGAGAAACUACAUGUUGAGUGGAGUUGCUUCAAGAAGAUAUUUCAAGAUAAAGGAGAAAUAAGUGAGAAGACUCGUACACAAAUCAAAACACUGAUGUUGAAUGAAUUACCUAAACUUCAAUAUAUAUGUGAUGAAGGAUCUCAAAUUGACCCAGUUCUUGAGUUCCUUGAAUACUUAAAGGUUCGUAGUUGUUCUAGUUUGACAAAUUUGAUGCCUUCCUCUGUCACACUUAAUCAUCUGACGCAGUUGGAGAUAAUAAAAUGCAAUGGGCUAAAAUAUUUAUUCACAACUCCUACGGCGCAAAGUUUAGACAAACUCACGGUGCUGCAGAUAGAAGAUUGUAGUUCACUUGAAGAAAUAAUUACUGGAGUAGAAAAUGUUGACAUUGCUUUUGUUAGUUUACAAAUUUUGAAUUUGGAAUGUUUGCCAAGCCUCGUCAAAUUUUGCUCUAGUGAGUGUUUCAUGAAGUUUCCGUCAUUGGAGAAAGUAAUUGUUGGCGAAUGUCCUCGCAUGAAGAUUUUUUCUGCCGGACACACAAGUACACCAAUUCUUCAAAAAGUCAAAAUUGCAGAAAAUGAUUCAGAAUGGCAUUGGAAGGGAAACCUAAACAAUACAAUAUACAACAUGUUCGAAGAUAAGGUAUGCUUGAUUUACAACGCGCACACGUUUGUGUGUGUACAUUGUGACCAUAUAUCGUUAAAAAGUAGUUGUAAGAAUUUUUCAAAAGAAAAGUGAAAGUAAUUGCAUUUCAAAUUUACAAAGAACAUUUUUACCUAUGUAUAUAGAUUUUGUAAAUGCACUAUAUGUUACUACUACUUUUGUUUGAACUAACUCAUAAUACAAUUGUUUUACAGGUGGGAUUUGUUAGUUUCAAGCAUUUACAACUAUCUGAAUAUCCCGAGUUAAAAGAAUUGUGGUAUGGUCAACACGAGCAUAACACAUUUAGGAGUUUGAAGUAUCUAGUGGUUCAUAAAUGUGAUUUUUUGUCCGAUGUGCUCUUUCAACCUAACUUGUUAGAAGUGCUGAUGAAUCUGGAAGAAUUAGAUGUGGAGGAUUGUAAUUCAUUAGAAGCAGUUUUUGAUUUGAAAGAUGAAUUUGCCAAAGAAAUUGUUGUGCGGAAUUCUACUCAAUUGAAGAAACUAAAAAUAUCUAAUCUUCCAAAACUGAAGCAUGUAUGGAAAGAGGUAAGGGUAUCAUUAAAUAUCAUCCUUGCUCUGAAUAUACAUAAUACUAAUUAGGCUAAAUUGCUCACUUUGAAUAGGUUUUUUUUAAGGAUGAGUUAGACCUAAUAUAAGAUUUAAUAUGGUAUUAGAGCCUAUUCUAGACCCAUUAGGUCAAUGCUUCAGACCCAUUAGGUCUGAGCAUGAGGGGGUGUGUUGGAAAUUCCUUUUAUUGCGGUUUACCUUUAGCCGCUCCGACACUUGUGCUACAUUCAUUGCAGCCUUCAACACAUUUAUUGUAUUGAAUUUGGAGGGGUGAAUUUAGACCCACUUUGCUUAGAGAUAUGGCAUGUGUAGUGUUUAUAAAGUUUGGACAAUCCUCGUUUUACAAGUCGGUAUUGUAAACAUGACUUCGGCCCAAUAUAGAAUUUAAUAUUUAUAUGACAACCCAUCUUUAUAGGCAUAUUAAUUAUUAUACAUCAAUACUAAACCCUUACAAAGAAAAACAUUAGUAAAAUAACUCUUAGCGUUUGUUUCAAGUUUACCAAAUUUAUUCCUAGGAAUAACAUUCCUUGGAAUAUAAAGAUGAGAAUUUUUAUUUCAAGGUAUUUGGAAAAAAUAUGUUUGGUUAACUUUAUAAUAUUCCUAGGAACCAUAAAAUUAGGGAUUAUAAUAGGUAACUACAUAUGAAUUUAUUCUCAUCUCCAUGGGAACUUUAUUCCCACCAUUUUCUUUGGGAAAUUUUUUCUAUUCCCAGGAACAUUUUAUAUCCGGGAAUAAAAUUUAGUAAACUUGUAACAAACGUAUACAUAUAUAUUUCUAUCAUUUUAUUCUCAGGAAUCAACAAAUUUAACUUGAAACAAACCCAUCAAUCAUCGGUUAGUGAAGCUCUUAAUAUGUAGACACUCUCUAACUAUGAUAAUCGAAUGAAGUUUAUUGCUCCUCACCUCUCAAAUUCUCUCUCCGGGUUUCUCUAACUUCACACUAAUCAAUACAACUAUUUGAACUCUUUUUUACUUGUUGUGAUUGAUUCUAGACCCAAAAUUAUGUUAGAUAUCUUGUUUGUUGGGAAGAGGCUGCUGCACUUGAAACCUGAAAUGUUUAAUGCUUACGCAUGUAAAAUUCAAAGCGCAUGGGGUUGCCACACUAACCUUUAGGUUCGAUUCGCCCCCACCAAUAACUGUAUAUUGGAUGCAAUAGGAGUUACCGGCGAAUCCCCUUCAGGAUACUAUGAGUUCCUUGACGUGUAUUGCACAACCACACCAAGCGUAUCUCCUAACAGUAUUUUACAGAUUUAUGGUUUCAGCAAUUCACUCAUGCAUUAGAGAAUUAAUGGAUGAUUUAGAGAGCAAGAGAAUGAGGGAGAAUUAUGUUGUUAAUGCAACAAAAUUCUAUCCAAAAUUGUGUGUCAAAUUAAUGCCAAGUAUUUAUAGUGCAUUAUAUGACCCUUCACAUGAGAGAAAACACCCCUUUGACUUGAAUCAAUGUUAUGGUUCAUUAAGUACCCUUUUGCCAAGGGUUAUGAUCAUACACACUUGAGUCAAUGCAAAAGUUCAUUAAGCACCUAUUUGCCAAAGGUUCCAAUGUAUAUGAAAGACUCUCAUGAAGAGUUACAACUCUUGGUGAAGAGUUACAACUUUUGGUUCUAAAGUGAUUCCAUUAUUUUGGAAAUUACCAAUAAAUUAUAAGAAAACAGGUAUAGAUUUUGGGAUGUGUAAUCCUUCAAUUAUGAUUUCUGUUAAUCUGUUUUUAUCCAUGCAGGAUGCAUUUCCUAGUUUGGAUACCCUUAAAUUGAGCUCACUUCUCAAUUUGAAUAAAGUCUGGGAUGACAAUCAUCAAUCUAUGUGCAACUUGACUAGCUUGAUUGUGGAUAAUUGUGUUGGAUUGAAGUAUUUAUUUCCCUCUACUUUGGUUAAAAGUUUUAUGAACCUCAAACACCUUGAAAUAAGUAAUUGUCCUAUGAUGGAGGAGAUAAUAGCUAAAAAGGAGAGAAAUAAUGCAUUAAAAGAGGUAUGGUAAUUCUGUUAUUGAAAACUUACAAUUAUUUUAAACUUGUACUGAUGGUGGUUAUUCAUGAAUUGAUAGGUUCAUUUAUUGAAAUUAGAGAAAAUUAUACUGAAGGAUAUGGACAACUUGAAGUCAAUAUGGCACCACCAAUUUGAAACAUUGAAGAUGUUGGAAGUGAACAAUUGUAAGAAAAUUGUGGUGGUUUUUCCUUCUUCAAUGCAAAACACAUAUAAUGAGCUAGAGAAGUUGGAGGUCACAAACUGUGCUUUAGUUGAAGAGAUAUUCGAAUUGAAUUUCAAUGAAAAUAACAGUGAAGAGGUUAUGACACAAUUGAAAGAGGUUACUAUAGAUGGACUGUUCAAGUUGAAAAAGAUAUGGAGUGGAGAUCCUCAAGGAAUUCUUAGUUUUCAAAAUCUAAUAUAUGUACUACUAGAUGGUUGUACAAGCUUGGAAUAUCUAUUACCACUCUCCGUAGCCACUCGUUGCUCACAUCUCAAGGAACUUGGUAUAAAAUGGUGUGAAAACAUGAAGGAAAUUGUUGCAGAGGAGAAAGAAUCUAGCUUGAGUGCAGCUCCCAUAUUUGAGUUUAAUCAACUAAGUACUUUAUUACUUUGGCACUCACCUAAACUCAAUGGUUUCUAUGCUGGAAAUCACACUCUGCUAUGUCCAUCUUUGAGGAAUAUUGGUGUCUCUAGAUGUACAAAGUUGAAAUUGUUCAGAACUCUAUCCAAUUUUCAAGAUGACAAACACUCUGUUUCAACGAAACAACCACUUUUUAUUGCCGAACAGGUAUGCAUAUCAUAUAAAUUUAUAUAUCAUAAUGACUCUGAUUCAUUCAGCUCUAACAGUCAUUGUCUAUUUACAUGUCUGGUAAUUAAAGUAUAAAAACAAAAAUGAAAUCUCUAAAAAAAUUAUAAAAUAUGUAUUUUUAAAUAUUUUUAAAAACGCCAUAUAAUCAAUUGAGAGCAAAAUAUUUUGAACUAUUAAUAUCAAAUGUUAUUAAAAUAUUUUACUUCAUAGAUGUGCUUUAUAAUUUCUAUAACAAAAAUAACAACUACUAACAUUGGCCAUUUCUCAAAAGUAUUUGAUAAAUUCUAUAAAAGAUAUAUGUGAGUUUAAAAGAAAUUGAAAAAAGUAGAGUAUUGGCAAAUAUUUUUUUUAAUUAUUUUACAUUGUUGUUCAAAUAUGUUUUAGGUGAUUCCAAACUUGGAAAUGUUGAGGAUGCAACAGACGGAUGCUGACGUGAUAUUGCAAUCUCAAAACUCAAGUGCCCUCCUUAGCAAAAUGACCAUUCUUGGUUUGGCUUGCUAUAACACUGAAGAGGCUACAUUUCCUUAUUGGUUUCUUGAAAAUGUGCAUACUCUUGAGAAACUACAGGUUGAGUGGAGUUGCUUCAAGAAGAUAUUUCAAGAUAAAGGAGAAAUAAGUGAGAAGACUCAUACACAAAUCAAAACACUGAUGUUGAAUGAAUUACCUAAACUUCAACAUAUAUGUGAUGAAGGAUCUCAAAUUGACCCAGUUCUUGAGUUCCUUGAAUACUUAAGGGUUCGUAGUUGUUCUAGUUUGACAAAUUUGAUGCCUUCCUCCGUCACCCUUAAUCAUCUGACGCAGUUGGAGAUAAUAAAAUGCAAUGGGCUAAAAUAUUUAUUCACAACUCCUACUGCACGAAGUCUGGACAAGCUCACAGUGCUGAAGAUAAAAGAUUGUAAUUCACUUGAAGAAGUAGUUAAUGGAGUAGAAAAUGUUGACAUUGCUUUUAUUAGUUUACAAAUUUUGAUGUUGGAAUGUUUGCCAAGCCUCAUCAAAUUUUGCUCUAGUAAGUGUUUCAUGAAGUUUCCGUUGUUGGAGAAAGUAAUUGUGAGGGAAUGUUCUCGUAUGAAGAUUUUUUCUGCUGGAGACACAAGCACACCAAUUCUUCAAAAAGUCAAAAUUGCAGAAAAUGAUUCAGAAUGGCAUUGGAAGGGAAACUUAAACGAUACAAUAUACAACAUGUUUGAAGAUAAGGUAUGUUUAUUUACCACUUUACUGCUUGUGUAACAAUAUUAUGAUUUGGGUUUCUAUUUUCUUUUAUUUUCUUUGGAUGCAUAAUAGUAGAUUUUUAAUUAUCAAUGUUGAAACUCUGGAAAAACAUAAUGGUGAAUAUGGCAACAACAAUAGUGUGAAAAGGGGUGGAAAGGAUGCCCAUUACCAAUUAGCAACCAUGGUGCUUAAAUGUGCUUGGUGAGCCAGGUGUCCAUCCAAAAUUCAGUUGAGCCCAUUAUCUUCCACCAUAUGAAUGUAUCAGUGUAAUUGUUAGUUAAGCAUGUAAUUAGUUUAGAACUAGUUAAGCCAUCUGUAUAUAGUUGGCACCUGAGCUGUCAAGUAACUGACUUGUGUCAGUUAGAGAUAAGUUAACAUGCUAUUGCAGGUAUUCAACAGCUUCGUAUAUAAAAGUUUGUUAGAAAAUUCUCGUUGAGUUUCUCUUAGUUUUACAUGGUAUCAGAUUAAUCUUUGAUCCAUGGCAACCUCUACGAUUCCCACUCUGCCGUCGCCACCGCCAAAAAAUGGUAUGCCGGCAACUCCGAUGGUUAUGCACACUCUUCUGCUCAGUUCCUUCGUAGAGGAAGAUUGAUCAAUGCAUUUUUGCAAUUUCUUUUUAUCCUGCAUUUUAACAUUUUGAAAGCUUUUUAUAUGUUUCUACAUAUUGGGUAUGAUUUGAGGGUUAAUGUAAUAAUUCUUGGAUUAAUCUCUGUAUUUAAUGUGUUCUGACUCAUGUUCAUUGUGUAGGCCAUAACUUCGGUUGAGGUUAUCCAAACUAGGCGUAAGUAUAGGCGUUGGAAAGCUAAGAAAUAGAUCUACAACUAUUAUGUUGAGCAGGAAUCCCAGUUUGGAUGUUCUCUUGAUGAACAAUUAUCAUCUCUGAAUCACUAAAGCUGAUGUGGGAUUUUGGGCCACUUAAUCUUUUGCCAUAAUGGGCCGAUUAGUCCUUUUAGCCCAACAAUUGAUCAAAUUCGGUUUUGCUAAUUAGGUUAAACUUGUAAUGGUAUAAAUAAGGCUGCUAUAGCCGGAACAUGGGGAUCUUUUGGCAGCUGUCAUUUGUUAUUUUCGAUGGAAGCUUAAUCAUGUAGAUCAAUUCACCUGUUAAGGAUUCUGUUUAAUGUCAUGAGGUCUGAAUUCUAAUGUCAAUUCUGUUUCUUAUGAUUUAAUAUCUUUUUACUUUCAAUAUUCUAUUUUUCCAUGAUCAUAUAUGUUUGGACGCUUGUUUCAUUUCAUAUUGAUUCUCAGUGGCGGAUGUUGAUUUAUUUUCUUGGGGGUACCAAACAGUUAUGGAAUAUAUAUUAUAUUAAAAUGAUUCAAUAAAUAGCAGUAGAACUCAAGUGUUCUGGUGGUUUGUAUUGCCGCAAACAUACCUGGCUGGUGCGGGUCGAACAUGCUACCUUCAUCAUAUAGAGGCACCCCCUUACCACUGCAACCACUGAGAAUUUAUUGAAAGUAUGGGCAUAAGGGCAUAAUACUAUAAAUAUAAUAUAGUAAGUUCAGGGGAUGCCAUGGCACCUGCCUGCCCUUGAGAAGAUCCGCCCCUGUUGAUUCUACCGAUUAAAAUUCAUAAUAAGUUCAUGUGUCUGAACGGUAGUUUCAAUAUAAAUCUGGUUAUAUAGAAUUGUUAUCGGGAACUUGCAUAGGACGCUUGAUUUAAAUUAUUUCAAAUGAUGAUUUUUGGGUUCUAUAAUGCUUAGGCGUAGGUUUGGUUGAACAUGUUAUUCAGAUUAGCCGUGAUUUUGUGACGCUUGCUCCAAAAUCACAUUAAAUCAAAUUCUAGAUUUUUUUGACGCUUGCUCCAAAAAUUAGCAGUAGUUCUAAUGAAUUAAUUGAUGCUUAAACGGUUAGUUUUAUAGCUAAAUUAGAGAGAAUAAAUUUAAUACCUGUGAUAGACCCGAAUAGAAUCUAACAAACCAGUGGAUUGAUUGUUUUGCCAAAUAGUUAAUUCUGCCAUUUUGAUCGUCUUUUCCACAAAUAAAACCCCUAAUUUACUUUCUUUUUUCUGUUCUAGUUUGGUUAUUAACAAUACAAAGAUCCCCGAUAAACGAGCAAGGUUUAAUUGCCUUGUACUGUUUUGUGAAUUCGGACUCAAAAUCACAUCAAUACAAACUAUAAUGUGUGGAGCAAAGGAAAGUAGUAACCAACAUCAAAGUAAACACAAGCAAUAACAACACCUAAAUCUAAUCUAGGAAUCAAAUGAAAAGUACAAAACCACAAGCAAAAGAUAAAGAGAGAAGAGAAACAAAUACACCAAAGAUUGUUGACCCAGUUCGGUCCAACUUAACCUACUCUGGGGGAGAGAUUGAUCUCUCCAAUCCACUAUCAAUGAGUUCUUACAAAGAGAUAUAAAUGGGUAACAAGAAAUUAGCUUCAACAAGCUUACAAAAAACAACCCUAAUUUCUAUCCGUUUUCCCAAUCUCACAAAUGAACAAGACACUCAAUGAUUUUCACUACCCCAAGGUGUUUACAAUGUUUCUCAACCUAAGAGAACUCUAAUCAAAGACCCUCAACCCACAAGUUACCUCCUUUGAUUUCCCAAGUUGUCAUCUCUUGAAGCUCUCUUGAACCACACUUCAAUAAAAACACUUAAAUAGCAGUCUUCAGCUGUCAAUAUCGUACGACCCACGGUACGACCAACCUUAUGUCAACGUGUCAAGCAAGCCGAAAAUCGUGACACAUUUUCCCAAAAUCGUAUCACGAUUGAACAAGAACACCCAUCAAAACAUGCUCUCGGCAUUGCCAAAUCGUGACACGCCUAUGAAAUCAUGUCACGAUUUCUCUGUUUCUCCAAACCACAAAUUUGAAGCCAAUAUCAACAUGUACUACUCUUUUUAUAACAAUUAUUUUGACCGCGAAUUACAGUGAUCAAAUUGGCACCGUCGUCGGGGAUCUCCGAUAAGGAUUAUCCAAAUUAAGAACCUUCAGUAACAACUCUUAACAUUUUCUCUCGAGUUUUCAUUGUAUUAGGUUCUGAUGUCGGAUAUUUCAUUUAAGCUAAAAAAAAUAAUUGAUUUCCAAUCAACUACUCCGAUUGCUGCGAAAUUUGGUGAGCAGUUCUAACAGUCAACUACUCCCAUGUUUUCCAAAUACACUCAUCCUUGCAUAUAAUGAUGUUGUUAGGGAAUACGAUGGAAAGACCAAACAUUAGGAUAUAAAAGGCUCAACCCAUACAAAUUUAUUUACAAGACCAAAAGAGUGAUAAAAUAUAUGUAUAUUCUGUUCCUUUUGAGUGUCAUUUUACAUAAAAUGUUUUUUUUAGGGAGGAAACAAAGCAAAUUUUUUGUUCCUUUGUAAUUGUCAUAUCAAAAUUUCAAACUAGCAUUAAAUUUUGUUUUCUUAAUAUUACCUCUUAUUUAUUGCAGAGAGUUAAAUAAGUGAGUUGAGAUGAUAAAUAAUUUAAGGUAAGAUGAAAUUGUUAAUAAAAAGUAGCAAAAUUUAAUAGCUUUAUUGGUUUGUGUAAACAGCCUUAAAACAACAAUUUCUUUUUUUUAUAAAUCUAAAUUAACCCACUCAAUUGGCACCAAAGAGAAUCUAACCUGAGACCUCUCACAUCCCAAGCCAAUGUCACUAGGCCAUAAAACAACAAUUAAAAAUGAACCGAUGGGGUAAUAAUUACUUAAUAGGAAGAUGCACUAGAAAAUCUUAUAAUCUUAGAAUAUGUACGAUAAAUAAUUUGAUAGUCUGUUGCAUAGGUAAAUCAUUCUAUUUUUUGAUGAAUAAUAAAUUUGUAAAUCUUAUAUUUGUGUACCUCGUAUUUUUUUCGAACAUUAUAUGUCAUCAAAACAAAAUAAAAUGAACACAAGACCUAACCAAAGAAAACUAGAGUGCACAAUUCUCUUUAUUCAUUUCUACUUUACUUCAGCUAUGUAUUAAAGUUUAUUCAAGAAUAUUUAUUACAGCCCCUAAAAACGAAUGUUUAUUACAAGUUACAACAUAUUAAAAAUCGAAGUUAAAUGCUAAGUAACUUUUAUUUAUAGAAUUUUAUCACUCCUGACAUAGUUGAGAUAACUCCAAGCAAUAUGAAAUUUAGAAAAUUCAGAGCUCAUGCUCAAUUUCUUAAAUUCGUUUUCGGUUCUUUCCUUUCCAUAUUGUAUUAAAAACAUGAGAUUCUCAAUAGCAUAAGAAUGCUUAGACAUAUUGCUUAGGUUUGGAGCCUUUGGAAUUACAUAAUCCAAAACAGUCUCCUUUUCGUAUUUUGGCAAAGCUUAGUAACAAUUUCUUAAAAAUUUCACACAUUCUUUAUUUGCCCAAUUGAUACCUUUUUAUACCAAUUGAUACCUUUUAUUGAAGGACUAGAUCAUCGACAUGUGCAAUGCACGCGUCUUUUAAAAUGUACUACCUUCCAACUCUUUUUUUUUUACUUUAUGAUAUCACCCAUGCAAUGAAUGGGGUGAGCUAUAUGAGAUUAUGAUAUAUAUAUUUUUACAUAACUAUAAACAAUGUGUCUGAUUUUUAGUUUGACGGUCUAAUUACCAUUAAUGUAGUAAAUCUACUCUACUAGUUUCUUAACAUGUUUGACGCAUGAAGUGCAUGUGACGAUUGAAACAUGUAUUAUUUAUUAGAAAAUAAUAAAAUUAUUUUUUGUAAAAAUAUCAUAAUCUCAUAUAAGGUAAACCAUUUAAAAAAAAAAAAACAAAAUCAAGACUCGUUCACGUUGCUCCUUUACAACACAAUCUUAAACAUCUUUGUGUUCCGUCAUCAUCAAACUAUGAAACUUCUAUGCCCUAAGCUCAUCCCUUUCCAUCUGACUUGGUAGAUGGAUUAUUAGCAUCUUUCAAGCACUCCUAUACAAAAUGAUAAAUUUAAAAUUAAAACAAACAUUGAAUUUUCUCUGUGCGUGUGAUGGACACAAACAUCCAACAUAGCCUAAAGGCAAAGUUGAUUUAUUCUAGAACAGUUAUAUCUUCAUGUGAUUCUAUAAGAAAGUUAAAACCAAAAGUAUCAUACUUUGGGGACCUUCAAACUAUUUUCUUUAAAAGUUAAGGAAAAUGUAGAUCAAAAUCAGAUAGAAUCAUAUAAAACAUAUUAAAUAAGUACAAAUUAGUUACAAACCCGUGCUUCGCACGGGUUGAAUAACAUAUCUUGUAAAAAAAAUUAUUCCAAAGGAAAAAUGAUCAAAUUAAUGAAUAUUGUACAAACUCGGAUAUUCUAAAAAAUCACUUUUACUGAAAUUUUAAAAAACUUUGUUAUAAAGGAGAAAUGAGCAAAUUAAGGGAAAAAGCUGCAUUUUUUUAUGAAAUUGUUGUCGUUCAUAAAUGUGAAAAUCAAGCAAGCAUAUUGCACAAAUCUCAGCUAUAUGUACAUUUUUAAAACAUUUACCAAAGCAUUAUAAAGAUUUGCUGUAGGAAAAUAGCAUGUUCUAUUUGGUUCAAGAGAUUAGGAAAACAACAUUAUAAUUAACAUGAUACUAAUUGGAACCAAUGAAGCAACCAACAAUGUGCAGAUUAACGUUAUAUAAUAGUCAGGUUUAUAAAAGAGACUGCAAGUGUCAUAGACUAACCAAAAAUGGAUUUUUGCCAAUAUUUACAUCAGACAAAAUGAAAAGAACAAAUGACAUUCCAAAGUCAAGAUAGGUUACGAUUACAGUCCAAAGGGAUACGCCAAAAUAGUAGAAGUUCAAAUAGUUUAACAGCAAAGAUAUAUUUUGGAACAGCUCGAACGUGCAAGUUCUUCGAUAACUUUUCGAGAUCAAAGAUGAGUUUACCACCUUCUUCCAUCACACGUUCUCUGCAGAAAUUAAACCACUGCGCCCCUAGUAUUUUUCAUAGCUUGCUCUUUCGGAGGUAAUGAGGCGACACUUAUACUUUCUCUGUGUCUGGUCAUCAAUGAGAGUGAUUUUUUGCGCUUUUCUUUCAGAAUUGUUCUUAAUACCUUGUUUGGGAAAUGCUAAAGGGAGAUAACUGCAAUAUUAGUCUAAUGCAUAUUAACAUGGAUAAGAUGUAUGUUAAUAUAGUUACAUAUAAUUUAUAAAAUGAAGGUAGCAUAACUGAUUUUAAGUUAAAGAAAAUGUACCAUGACUUCUAAUGUAUCGUCCUAUUAUAUUCCUAUAAAAUCUAGAUAAAUGCAUGCAUGUGGAUUAUAUGUACCUCGUUGGCCAAUUAACAUUGUUGAAACAAAUGGAAAUUAAGCAUCACUCCUGCAUGCGCAUUUAUAGCUAACACCAUUUUACAUUGAUGUCUUCGAACAUUUGGUGCAACUCUCAUGAUACCAUCCAAACUGGUUAGGAUUGAAUUUAGUUGUUUUCCAAAUAGUGAUGCAAUAUGUAUCCUAACACAAAUUAUACACAUGAAAUAAAGAAUAAUGCAAUAUGUAUUUUUAAUUUGUGCAUAAAAAACUUAAAGCAUGUUUGUGCAUAAAAAAUAAAAUUAAAAAAAAGCAGACCUUGACUAAGUUUAUAAAUUCAACAAUUGGCCUAACUUGAGACAGAUUGGAAAAAUCGUUGUACGAAGUACGUUGAGAAGAAGCCGAACUCUAACUUAAGUUCUGACUGUAGCUUUGACUCUGAGCUUGAGAAGUGUUAAGGUCACGAUAACAAUUCAAGAAACAUGGUCAAAAAAUAAUCAAAUCAGAUUGUGAAAUAAUAAGUUACUCUAACACUGUAUUGUGAAAUCAUAAUGCAAACUUACUAAGUCUUAAACUUCUCAACAACCGGAUGAUGUAGGUUGAUGAGCAACCUCAAACCUGACUAAUUGUUACAUAUAUUUGGGUUGCCGUUGACUAUAAAAUGGAAGCAAAGAACUCAAGGUAAAUAGAUGGUAAAUGAUAAAGUUACGAAGUAUUUUUCCCAUAGUGUUGCAUUAGCCAUAUUCCCACUACAUAAGGAAAUACAUCUUUCAGGUCAUUAUCAAACUUAUACAAAAUCCUAUCAUUUGAUGCUGACAAAUUAGAAAAUAAUACCUUUUAUUUUUCAACACAAUGUUCGUACACGGUUUCUUUCCAGUCCCAAUUGACGUUGUCUUGACAAUCUCAUGAAGAAGCCCGAUGAUUUCUUAAAAAGAAAAUUACAUCUAUAAGAACAUUAUAGUCGGUGAAAACAUAGAAAUAAAUGAAAGCACAUAAUUAUACCAUAUAAAACGUCAGUUUUGAAUUUUCCAUCUUGAAUUUCCUUAAAUGACUUAAAGCGAAAUUCAUGAGUAAGAACGUUGGUUUACUUGUCAUACUUCUGCACCUUUGUACCAGAAUCAAAAACAACUUUAAAGGGAUUAAAUGCAAUGUCAUUAUCAAGCACAUGACAUUUAUAGAAAGUAUAAGUCUUGUUUUCCUCGAUCAAAGCCUUCCAAUGCUCCAAUUCUCUAUAUCGAGUUAUUACAUGAACUCGAUCACCCUAAAUCCGAGAAAGAAACCAAAAAAUAUAAAUAAAUCAAAAUGUACACUAAUAAGUAACAUUGAUAAAUCAUAAAGGAAAUUACAACAAAUCUUAAAUAACUCAUCUAACUUUUGCAUCACAAAUAAUGAGCUUCAUGCGUUGAUUCUCAUUACUACCAGUCACAAUCCAAGAAUCCAACACUCCAAAUCCUAUUUUUCAAAUGUCCAAAUCAUUUUUGAGAUCCUUAAUGUAGUCAUAAUCCCUUGACAUUGAAAGUCCUAUAUGAAAAUACAAUAAUACAUCAUUUAAUUUUAUUCCCUUUGUUCAUUCUCAUAUCGAAAGAAGCUAACAUAUUUUUAUGUGACCAAAUUUUCUAUCAUCAAAUCAACCUAAUCUUAAAUGCACAAAUUUCUGUAUCAUCAACUUUCUGGACUUCAAUGUGUUGGAACAAAAUGUGUUUCACAAUGAACCUUAUUAAGUUUUGAUGAUAACAAGGUAUUAAAAAUUGUCAAUUGGUUAUUACUAAUAAUUGUUCAAGUGUACAGGACCAAAGGCUACUCAAGUUAUUUCAAUAGGUCUUGGAAGAACAAUGCAAAGAAAAAGAAAAUUCUGAGCAUCUGAAGAAAAACUGCUCCUGAAGCUGAAGUGCUUCUGAAAUGAUGACGUUCACAAAAACAAAAAGUCCUCCAAACCAAAAAUUUUUAAUCAAAACCAAUACCCUUCCCCAAAACCUACCGUUUGAUCCUUUAAACCAAACUAAAAAUCCAAGUACUCGAUUCUCAAUUCCCUCCUUAUCCUUAUACUAACCAAAAACCUAUCCGGUGCGUUUUUUUGUUUAUCCUCGGAUCACCCUCCGUCACCGAUGGCCCUCCUCAUGUUCAACCCACAUUCAAACUCACAUCUAAAUUAGUACACCAUUAUCAUCCUUUAAACAAUCUUCUCCAUAAAGAACAAAUUCAUUAUCAAUUAUAUAAAAUCACUACUAUUCUACCUAUUACAUGACUCAUUAUAUUAUCUUUGAAAUCCUAUUAACACCUUACCUUACCCUUUCCAUUAAAAAUUAUUAUCAUUCAAGAACAUUACCUCUUAAUGCCUACUUACCAUUAUCGAUCUUUUCCGAAAUUAAAUUCAUUCUCACGCUAUAUUCUUUUCGUUAGUGCUUGGAUUUAAUUAAUUUGCUUCUCCUCUCUUUACAUCUCUCUUUAUCAUAUUAUCCUCUAUCCAACAAAGAUUCAACAUCCCCAGAUACUUUCUAAUCACCAUUAUUACUUCAUCUUACAAAACUUAUGACCAUGCCAUCCAUGCCAUCACAACCUCCCAUCCACUAUCAACUANNNNNNNNNNNNNNNNNNNNNNNNNNNNNNNNNNNNNNNNNNNNNNNNNNNNNNNNNNNNNNNNNNNNNNNNNNNNNNNNNNNNNNNNNNNNNNNNNNNNUAUAUAUAUAUAUAUAUAUAUAUAUAUAUAUAUAUAUGUACACUAUGAAGAGAUUAGCUGAAACUUAAUUUGUACCCACUUUGUAAAUUUGUACUCGCAUUAUUUAUUAUUAUUUAUCUGUUCUCUUUCACUAAUAACUCGUAAAAUCCUUCAAUAUUUUGCAAAUUGUGAGUGUAGUUUGUUUUGAUAUUUUUUUGUUGUUUGCAGAUCAUUUAGUUUCUUCUUUUUGAAACCAUUUUGAAUAAGUUUUGUAGAUCACACCAUCAAAAGCACCAGUUGUUACGUUGAUUCAUAAUCUAGCCUAAUGAUCUUUCCUUUUUGUAAUUUAAUCAGAUAUUAUAACAAACUAAUAAUCAGAUAUUCUUGACGCGUAAUUGUGAUGAUUAAUCCUUUGAGUUUUGUAGGACCCAAAUUGUCAAGAAACUGUCCCUAACGUCAACCGUUGAUCUAAUUAAUUUUUUUUUUUUUGAUAGAGGGUUUGGCUACCUCUCAAAUAGGUGACUUUAGAAAUCAAACAUAGUUCUUUUGCUCGAGAUAAACAUGUUGCCAACUCUCCCACCAUGUUGGUUAAACUCGAUUCCUUGGCUAAGCCUCUUGGAUUAAUUCAGAAAUUUUAAUUUUACAUGUUUUUUUUAUAUUUUAUAUCUUUAACUUUUUGGUUGAAGUUUAUAUCUUUAACUUUUCUCUUGAGCUCUAAAAUGAAUUAUAUUUAUCUCUCAAAAACAAAAUGCCUAGGACAAAAAAUAUUGAGUUCAGAGUAAAACAACGGAACUUAAUUAUGGAAGAACCCAAAAACUAUACUUUUAGAACUUGAACGGAUGAAAUCAUUUUAUUUAUGGAGAUUAGAACUAAAUUCAGUCUUUUUAUAGAGAUAGAAUUAUAUUUAAAAAUUUUAUAAAAAAUUCAGUCUUAAAUUUUUUAUUGGUUACACAUGAUUGUAAUGAAAUUCAAUUCGCACAGUCUAUCAAUAUUAUUGGAUUUUAUUGUCUAUAUUUUUCUAAUUCUAACCAAAGUGUGUUCUAUUAUUAAUUGCUGUUUUCCAUCGGAAAAAAGAGUAAUGCGUUAAUGUCCUCACAUUUCCAAAUGUUGCCCUUAUUUCUUCUGCCUCAUCCAUAAAUGGUAUCUUUUACUUUCACUUUCAGAUUUUGACUCAAGUCACAAAGAAGAGGAGAAGAAAAUAAAAUCAAUGGAAAUUUUAACUUCUGUUGUUGGAAAAAUAACAGAAUAUACCAUUGUGCCUAUUGGACGUCAAGCAAGUUACUUGAUAUUCUACAAAGGCAACUUCAAGAAGUUAAAGGAUCAUGUUGAAAACCUUCAGGCUGCAAGAGAAAGAAUGCUCCAUUCGGUUGAAAGAGAAAGGAGAAAUGGUAGAGAAAUUGAAAAAGAUGUUCUGAAUUGGUUGGAGAAAGUGAACGAGGUCAUUGAAAAUGCAAAUCGGCUUCAAAACGAUCCUCGUCGUCCCAAUGUUAGGUGCUCAGCAUGGUCAUUCCCCAACUUGAUUUUACGUCAUCAACUAAGUAGGAAAGCUACAAAAAUUACAAACGAUGUUGAUCAAGUUCAAAGAAAGGUAGGUUUUUAAUCAAAUUGGCUACCUUCCCCCUCUAGAUGUAGGAGCCUCCUCCUCCUCAACAAGAGAUGGUGAAAAGUAUGACACAAGGGAGUUGCUUAAGGAGGACAUUGUGAAGGCUUUAGCAGAUCCCACUUCACGCAACAUUGGGGUCUAUGGGUUAGGUGGGGUGGGGAAGACCACUCUGGUGCAGAAAGUUGCUGAGACAGCCAAUGAACAUAAAUUGUUUGAUAAAGUGGUUAUCACAGAAGUAUCGAAAAAUCCAGACAUUAAAAAAAUUCAAGGGGAGAUUGCAGAUUUCUUGAGUCUGCGAUUUGAAGAGGAGAGUAAUCGUGGCAGAGCAGAACGCCUUAGACAAAGAAUCAAGAUGGAGAAAAGUAUCCUUAUCAUUCUAGAUAACAUAUGGACCAUACUUGAUUUGAAAACAGUGGGGAUUCCAUUUGGUAAUGAACAUAAUGGUUGCAAGUUGUUGAUGUCAUGCAGAAGUCAAGAAGUGUUGUCGCAAAUGGAUGUUCCAAAAGAUUUCACUUUCAAAGUUGAACUUAUGAGUGAAAACGAGACAUGGAGCUUGUUUCAAUUUAUGGCAGGGGAUGUGGUUAAAGAUAGCAAUUUGAAAGAUCUACCAUUUCAAGUGGCCCAAAAAUGUGCAGGUUUGCCUCUUAGGGUAGUGACAGUAGCGCGUGCAAUGAAAAAUAAGAGGGAUGUUGAAUCUUGGAAAGAUGCAUUAAGGAAAUUACAAAGUAAUGAUCAUACAGAGAUGGAGCCUGGAACUUAUUCUGCUUUGGAAUUGAGUUACAACUCAUUGGAGAGUGAUGAAAUGAGGGCUCUCUUCUUGCUUUUUGCAUUACUGUUACGUGAAAACGUAGAGUACUUUCUCAAAGUUGCAAUAGGGUUGGACAUAUUGAAGCAUGUUAAUGCCAUAGAUUAUGCAAGAAACAGACUUUACUCAAUAAUCAAAUCUUUGGAGGCGAGAUGUCUUUUGCUUGAAGUUAAAACAGACAGAAAUAUCCAAAUGCAUGACUUUGUUCGUGAUUUUGCUAUCUCCAUAGCACGUAGGGAUAAACAUGUACUUCUAAGAGAACAAUCUGAUGAGGAAUGGCCAACCAAGGACUUUUUUAAAAGGUGCACACAGAUUGCUCUGAAUAGGUGUGAUAUGCACGAGCUUCCUCAAACGAUUGAUUGUCCAAACAUUAAGCUUUUCUAUUUGAUUAGUAAGAAUCAAUCUUUGAAAAUCCCCGAUACUUUUUUUAAGGGUAUGAGAAGCCUUAGAGCGCUAGAUUUAACAUGCUUGAAGUUGUUAACAUUACCCACAUCAUUUCGGUUACUAACAGAACUUCAAACAUUGUGUUUGGAUUUUUGUAUUUUGGAAAAUAUGGAUGCAAUAGAAGCUUUGCAAAAUUUAAAAAUUCUCAGACUCUGGAAUUCUUCAAUGAUCAAGUUGCCAAGAGAAAUAGAGAAAUUGACUCAAUUGAGAAUGCUUGAUUUGAGCCAUUCAGGAAUAGAAGUGGUCCCACCCAACAUCAUAUCAAGUUUGUCUAAAUUGGAGGAGUUGUACAUGGAAAAUACAUCAAUAAAUUGGGAAGAUGUGAAUUCAACGGUUCAAAAUGAAAAUGCUAGUCUUGCCGAGCUUCAAAAACUACCCAAAUUGACAGCUCUAGAAUUACAAAUUCGUGAGACUUGGAUGUUGCCAAGGGACUUGCAAUUGGUGUUUGAGAAGCUGGAAAGAUAUAAAAUAGCUAUUGGAGAUGUAUGGGACUGGUCUGACAUUGAGGAUGGAACCUUAAAAACAUUGAUGCUCAAACUUGGUACAAACAUACAUUUGGAGCAUGGAAUUAAAGCAUUGAUUGAAGAUGUUGAGAAUUUGUAUUUGGAUGAUGUAGAUGGAAUUCAAAAUGUGCUUCCUAACCUAAAUAGAGAAGGAUUUACAUUGCUGAAACAUCUCCACGUCCAAAAUAAUACUAACUUGAAUCACAUUGUUGAAAAUAAAGAGAGAAAUCAAAUCCAUGCGUCCUUUCCCAUCUUGGAAACACUAGUACUUCUUAAUCUUAAAAAUUUGGAGCAUAUUUUUCAUGGUCAACCUUCAAUUGCUUCUUUUGGAAAACUCAGUGUUAUCAAAGUCAAAAACUGCGUCCAAUUAAAAUAUAUAUUCUCAUAUCCAGUGGUUAAAGAACUUUACCACAUUUCUAAGAUUAAAGUUUGUGAGUGCAAUUCUAUGAAGGAAGUAGUGUUCGGAGACAACAAUUCAAGUGCAAAAAAUGAUAUCAUUGAUGAAAAAAUUGAGUUUCUUCAAUUGCGUUUUUUGACUUUAGAACAUUUGGAGACACUUGAUAAUUUCGCCUCUGAUUAUUUGACGCAUCUUAGAAGUAAGGAAAAGUAUCAAGGUGUAGAGCCUUAUGCUUGUACUACACCGUUUUUCAAUGCUCAGGUAUGCUAUUUUGUUUUUAGCUUCUUUAGAUACAAAUGAUAUAAUUUUUAAUUUUGUGAUAUGUACAAACAGAUUGAUUCAUGAAUAAACUGGUACGUUUAGUGAAGAUUUUUUUUUUUUUGAGUAAAUGAACAAGAUUAAUAUUUUCUGUUCAAAACACUAUAAUGCUUAUUUUUUCCCACAAAACUACAACAGAUGUGAUAAUAAAAGUCAUUUUAAAAAUUUUAAGUAUACUAUUAGUUAAAAAUUAGUUUUUAUUCUUAAAAAAUAUAUUUAAAUAGACUUCAUACUGUUUCAUAGUUUUUACUUUUUAAUUAUACUAUUAGUUAUACGUUGUUUCAAUGUUUCAUAUUAUAAGAGUAAUGAUUUCUGCUAAUUUGUUUUUAUGUAGGUCGCAUUUCCUAAUUUGGAUACCCUUAAAUUGAGCUCACUUCUCAAUUUGAAUAAAAUUUGGGAUGUCAAUCAUCAAUCAAUGUGCAACUUGACUAGCUUGAUUGUGGAUAAUUGUGUUGGAUUGAAGUAUUUAUUUCCCUCUACUUUGGUUGAAAGUUUUUUGAAUCUCAAAUACCUUGAGAUAAGUAAUUGUCUUAUAAUGGAGGAUAUAAUAACUAAAGAAGAUAGAAAUAAUGCAGUAAAAGAGGUAUGGUAAUUCUAUUAUUGAAAACAUCCAAUUUUUUAAAAUUGUAAUUUAUAUAAUUAUUUAUACUGAUGGUGGUUAUUCAUGAUUUAGGUUCAUUUUUUGAAAUUAGAGAAAAUCAUAUUGAAGGAUAUGGACAGCUUGAAGACAAUAUGGCAUCAGCAAUUUGAAACAUCGAAGAUGUUGAAAGUGAACAAUUGUAAGAAAAUUGUGGUUGUUUUUCCUUCUUCAAUGCAAAACACAUACAAUGAGCUAGAGAAGUUGGAGGUUAGAAAUUGUGAUUUAGUUGAAGAGAUAUUUGAAUUGAAUUUGAAUGAAAAUAACAGCGAAGAGGUUAUGACACAAUUGAAAGAGGUUACUCUAGAUGGACUGUUGAAGUUGAAAAAGAUAUGGAGUGAAGAUCCUCAAGGAAUUCUUAGUUUUCAAAAUCUAAUAAAUGUACAAGUAGUUGGUUGUUCAAGCUUGGAGUAUUCAUUACCAUUCUCCAUAGCCACUCGUUGCUCACAUCUCAAGGAACUUUGUAUAAAAUCUUGUUGGAAAAUGAAGGAAAUUGUUGCAGAGGAGAAAGAAUCUAGUGUGAAUGCAGCUCCGGUAUUUGAAUUUAAUCAACUAAGUACUUUAUUGCUUUGGCACUCACCUAAACUCAAUGGUUUCUAUGCUGGAAAUCAUACUCUGCUAUGUCCAUCUUUGAGGAAAGUUGAUGUUUACAAUUGUACAAAGUUGAAUUUGUUUAGAACUCAUUCUACAAGAAGCUCCAAUUUUGGAGAUGACAAACACUCUGUUUUAAAGCAACAACCACUUUUCAUUGCUGAAGAGGUAUGCAUAUCAAUAUAAUAAAUGUAGGACUUGUUUUUUGUUUUUCUCUACAGUAAGGAAUUAGUGUUAUUCUUUUGAAAUACCAAACAAUAAUUAUUAUACUUGUAUUCAAUUGAAUAAUUCUGAUUCAUUCAACUUUUACAAUUGAAUUAGAUGGCGUGUAAAAGUAUUUGACAAUUUCUUGAGGAAAAAAUUGAAAAAGUACAGAGGUAUUGGCAAAAAUUAAAAAGACAAAAUUUUAGGUGAUUAUUGUUUAAAUAUGUUUUAGGUGAUUCCAAACUUGGAGUUUUUGAGGAUGGAACAGGCGGAUGCUGACAUGCUAUUGCAAACUAAAAACUCAUGUGCCCUCUUUUGCAAAAUGACCUAUCUUGGAUUGGCUGGCUAUAACACCGAAGAUGCUAGAUUUCCUUAUUGGUUUCUUGAAAAUGUGCAUACUCUUGAGUCACUAUAUGUUGGGGGGAGUCAAUUCAAGAAGAUUUUCCAAGAUAAAGGAGAAAUAAGUGAGAAGACUCAUCUACAUAUAAAAAGCCUGACAUUGAAUCACUUACCUAAACUUCAACAUAUAUGUGAGGAAGGAUCUCAAAUUGACCCAGUUCUUGAGUUCCUUGAAUGCUUAAAUGUUGAAAACUGUUCUAGUUUGAUAAAUUUGAUGCCUUCCUCUGUCACCCUUAAUCAUCUCACAAAGUUAGAGGUAAUAAGAUGCAAUGGGCUAAAAUAUUUGAUCACAACUCCUACUGCACGAAGUUUGGACAAGCUCACUGUGCUGAAGAUAAAAGAUUGUAAUUCACUUGAAGAAGUAGUUAAUGGAGUAGAAAAUGUUGACAUUGCUUUUAUUAGUUUACAAAUUUUGAUGUUGGAAUGUUUGCCAAGCCUCGUCAAGUUUUGCUCUAGUGAGUGUUUCAUGAAGUUUCCGUUGUUGGAGAAAGUAAUUGUGGGGGAAUGUCCUCGCAUGAAGAUUUUCUCUGCCAAAGACACAAGCACACCAAUUCUUCGAAAAGUUAAAAUUGCACAAAAUGAUUCAGAAUGGCAUUGGAAAGGAAACUUAAACGAUACAAUAUACAACAUGUUUGAAGAUAAGGUAUGUUUAUUCAUAAUGGCAUUUGGGUUUCUAUUUUCUCUUGUUUUCUUUGGAUGCAUAGUAGUUGAUUUUUAAUUUACAUAAUAGUUGAACUUUGUGGAAAAACAACUAUUUGGAGACUUUGAAAGUACUUCGCAAUAUACUCUUAAAAAAAGUUAAAGAGAUACAUAGUGUCAAAAGAAAGAAAGUCAUAUUUGAUAAAAAGAAGAAAAAAAAUCAUAGAAAUGGACCCUGAGGUUGUAACAAAGACUUCAAAAUUCAAAGAGUUUGUAGUCAUGUUUUAUAAACAAUUAUAAUAAUAUAAAUAUAUGCCGUUAAAAAAAUAGUAAUUUUGAUUUUUUUAGGGUAGUAAUUUUGAUUUGUCUCUUCAUAUAUAGUCCUUAUAAUUAACCAGCUUAGUGAGUGCUGCUAGCCAUGGAGUGCUUUGUCGUGACUUUAUAACGACUUUCAUAUUUCGACAUAUAUAAAACACAUGUAGUUUCAUAACCAUUUUUUAAGAUGAUUUUCUAAAGUACAACUCUACUAUAAAAAAAUACAAGGUAUCCAGUACGUGUAAAUAUUUUAUUAUUUUUUUUAUAAAAAAAAUAAAUAUAUAAAUGUCGAAUGGAUGUUUUGGCAAAAAUUUGUUUGAUUUUACUCCAAUUAAUGCUUACAUUUAAAUGUUUAUUUUGUAUAGGUCCAAUUUAAACAUUCUUUAUUGUUGGAGAAAUAUACUGAUAAAAAUUGAACUUUUUUCUCACUAUAUCACCUGUGUGUGUGGAAAUGAUGAAAAGAAUAAUUUUGAUUUUACAAGAGAUGAAAAAAUUGAUUUAUAUUUUAAUGGAGAUGAAUAAUUUGAUCUUAACCUCGAAGGCGAGUGGAAAAUAGAUUGAUUUAAUUUUUAAUGAAGAUGAAUAAUUGGAGGAGAAUAAGAAAUGUUAACCUUAUAAUUUUCAAAUGUUAGCGCAAUAAAAAUAGCGCUUGUCAGACUACCUUGAGAACCAGCAGACUUCUUUGAGGAAUGAUGCUGAUGUUGUUGAUGAAAGUGUGUUAGCGCAAUAGUUGACAAAAUCUAACUAAUUUUCAUGAAAAUAUAAAUUUUAUAAAAAAAUAUGAUAAUUUAUACGUGUUAGUGCAAUAGAAAGAACUGAUAAACGGUUAAAAAAAAAUAUCAGCGUUAGCCCGUCCAAUGCUAGUAUAUAUAAAGCACGUCAACUGUCCUCGUGAGCUUAGCUCGGUUGGUUUGAACAAUGCAUAAAAUAUGCAAGAUUUGGAGUUCAAACUAGACUACCAUAUAAAAAAAAAAAAAGCACGUCAAUUGAAAGGCAAAUUAGCGUUUAGAUAAAUAUAAUGAUAAUUUAAAUUAUCAUUUUGGAAAAAAAGAUCUACGUGGUUAUUUAUAAAACAAAACACCAUAGAAGUAGUUUAAUACGUGAACUUAUAACUACUAACGCUUAAUAAUGUUUAGAAACUAAAAGUCGUAUUAUAGGUGAUUGCAGCAUUAGCUACAAAGAAUCUACUCAAUAACUACCAACUACUAAUAUUUCUUUUGACUUUUUUUUUUUGUCCGGCAAAAAUUAUUAUGCAUAAGUCAUUUCCUUAUGCACCCUGUAUAAACACUUCACAAAACCAUUAGACAAUUAUUUUGGUUUCUCAUAUAAGACUAUCAAAACCAUUAAACCAUAAUUAUCAGGAACAAACAAAUCAUAAAGAUUUUUAUCUUUAUUUUCUGUUAUCAUUUGAUCAACACGACUUUUUUUCUUUUUUCAACUCCAACUUUUUCGCCUCUUACUCUUAUGAAUCAAUGGUAGUCUUAUGGUUUGAUAUAGAAGAGAUUGUUCAUGCUUUUUUGUAGGCAGGCGAAUAGGUUCAAUAAAAAAUAUGCUUUUUUGUAGGCAGACGAAUAGGUUCAAUAAAAAAUAUUAGCCUUUCCUUCAAGUCCUCAGUGUCCCUACAUUUUGUAUAACAAAAAUCCUUCGUAAUUGAAUCAACCAGCAUUUCUAUAUCUAGCUCUAGCUUUUUAAUCGACAUUAUUACAAUUUUUUAAAAUUUUUUCAUUCUAAGCAGGAGACAAAAUAAGUUGGUAUUAUCCAUUCCUAUUUCUUCGUCGGAACUAUCACAGUGCAAAUAAAAACCCAAAUAUUUUGAUAGUAAGAAAUCAUGUUCUCCCUUUAGAUCGGUCCUGUAUUUAGAAUCUGAUCCUUUAUAAUAGUAUGAGCCAGAUUUAAGAUCUUCAUCUACUGUAUUCACGUAUUCUUCUGUUGUUAACUCUAAAUUAUCAAGCUGCAAAACAAAGAAUUUUAUUGGUAAGAUCCAAGGAUUCAUCUUAUAUGCACAAUAAAAUUUGCUUAAUUUUGAAAAGAACCAAAAUCCGGGAAUAAGGAAGUUAUUCUUCGGUAUAGAAGUCUUUUUCCUUUUUACAUUCAUUCCCAUCCAAUUGAAAUACUUUCUAUCCGGAUUUUUUUCUAGAUUUUUUUCCAUAUCUAGAAUAUCAUAUUCUUCUAGAUAAUUUUGGAUAGAGAUAACGCCUAUUAUAUCCAAAAAUUCUUUUCUACAUAGGUUGUAAUUAUAAGAAAUUUUUGUUUCCUUGCGGUGAUCUAUAUCCAUAAAUAUAGGAUUUUUUCUUAUCCGCAAAAUGAAUAUAUUGAUAGGAGAAAAGAUCAUAUCUAUAUUGUUUUUUAAUUUUGUUUUUAAUUUCUAUUUUUAAUAAGUCUCCUUCUUGUUCUUGUUUUUUGGAAAGAAUUAAUUGAUUUUUUUCAAAUGAAUCAUAUUCAACUAAAUCUUUAUUUUGAGCCACACGAUGUUCAUUGAUUUUAUUCCUCCAGUUUUGUGAUACUCAUCUCGACCAUCUGUUCUCAGGUAAAUCAUAUUGAUAAAGAACCUUUAACCAAUUUGUCCAUUGAUUCAUUAACGAAUCGGGACGUUUCUUAUGUCUUAAUUUGGAAUUAUAUGUUCCUUGUAUUCUAAAAAAAAUAAUCCUUUAUUUCAUUCUUAAGAAAAAAAGAUCUUUCAGGAGAUUCAAAAAUAGAUCUUAACUUAAAUUUAUAUCCAUUACUAACUUGGAUUUGUGAUAAUUUAUAAAAUACAUAUGCUUGUGACAAAGAAGAUACAUCCAAGAAUUCCGUGAAUUCAUAUUCGUAAUAUUCCCAGAUUUGUCUAUAAUCGACAUAAAUGGAAUUAUACUUUGAUUUUCAAUUCUUUUUGCAUUUUUUUUUGUAGUAAAUGGAUUUUUUUACAUUUAGUAUUUUGUCUAUUGAUUCAAGAAAAUAAAAAAAAACGUUGUCGAUGGAUCCUAGCAAUACUACUGAUACGUAAAAGGAUAUCUAUGUAUAUCCCUUCUAUGAAAAUUUUGAAAAAAGAAUAGGAUUUACGUAUUAAUCGAACAAAUCUUCUUUUUAAGAUUUGCAAAAUAUUUUUUUGUAAUUCUAAUCUUUUAGCAUAAGUAGUUUUGUUCGAAUUCAAAUUGAUCUCUGAAGUUAGAAUCCCCUUUUUUUUUUUUUCUUCUGUCAUUGUUUCUAUUUGUUUUAUGAUUGUCUUUGUUUUAACAUUAAGAUCUUCUAUCCUUUUUUCUGUGAAUGAAGAAUUUGUUCAAUUAAUAGAUUCCAUUUUAACAGGUGAUUCCUCAAUCACCUCAAUCUUUAAAUUAUUCUUGCUAAUUGUUGAAGUUUUUUUUUCUUUCACUCAGUUCAUCUAUUGUUUUGAACCUAAAUAGAAUACUUUUAAGUUUUGAUGUUUCAGUUUUCUAUUUUUUUUAACAUAGUUCGAAACCAUUUUUUUCUUUCAUUUAAAAAUUUUAGAACUAGAAAAAAACGCUUUUUCAAAUCUUUUUUCAUUCAUAUCCUAUCAAUUCCAUCAAGAGUGUCUUGAAUCCAUUCAUAUCCUGUCAAUACUGAAUUUCUACAUGAUUAAUAAUUCUGUCAGCGUAGGCAUUUCCUUCUGAAUUUCAAAGAUUCAAACAUUUAAGCUAGCUAUUUCUAAUGUUCCAAGUGACACAAUGAUAGAUUGGGAAGUAGAUAUAACCAACAUGUUAUCCAUUUAAAUCCAAAUAUUCCUCCAACUAUGCUCGUAAGGAGUCUAAAUAGUGAGCAUGACCGUCGUAAUCUGUGCACACAAGGUCGUUGAUAUGCCUAAAUUAGUAGCAAAACCUGCUACAGAUUGGCAUUCGAGUCGCUGAAAAUAUCUGGACAUGAAGCGUUACCAGGACACCCAUGGGCAACAUCGCUUCUGUUACAUUUAACCCGUUUUUAAGCCUCUCAAGCAUGGCCAUCUAUUAUGCUAAGUUCUGGAGUUCCUCAGCCAAGUAAUAACAACAUAAUCUUUAUCCCACUGAGGAAAGUUAGGAGCAAUUACCAGAGGUCUCUUCUAAGAACAUAUGAUAUUUUAAUGGAAAAUAUGGUUUUGGGAUAACAUCCCUGUUAUGGGCAUUGGUUGGAUCAUUUCUGGACUGUUUUCUAAUCUUUUUUAUCAUUUUAUUCUCUAUAUUAGAAAUAACUAUUUGAAAUUUUCCAUGGUUAGGAAUCUCAUGUCAAUGAGUAUUUUUUACUUCAUCUUCAUAGUCAACACCCCAGCGAGUUAAGAUUGAGAGCUUUUUAAGCAUGCAAAGUCGAAGGAACUGUUCCAUCUUCUGUGGGAUAUCAGCUUAUGAACUAUAUUUUACUACUACAUUUGUUUGAAUUAACACGCGAUACAAUUGUUUUUGCAGGUGGGAUUUGGUAGUUUCAAGCAUUUAAAACUAACUGAAUAUCCCGAGCUAAAAGAAUUGUGGUAUGGUCAACUUGAGCAUAACGCAUUUAGGAGUUUGAAGCAUCUAGUGGUUCAUAAAUGUGAUUUUUUAUCCAAUGUGCUCUUUCAACCUAACUUGGUAGGAGUACUGAUGAACUUGGAAAAAUUAGAUGUGAAGAAUUGUAAUUCAUUAGAAGCAGUUUUUGAUUUGAAAGGUGAAUUCACAGAAGAAAUUGCUGUGCAGAAUUCUACUCAAUUGAAGAAAUUAAAACUAUCCAAUCUUCCAAAACUGAAGCAUGUAUGGAAAGAGGAUCCACAUUACACUAUGAGGUUUCAAAAUUUAAGUGUUGUAUCUGUUGCGGAUUGCAAAAGCUUGAUAAGCCUCUUUCCACUCUCAGUGGCUAGAGAUAUGAUGCAACUUCAAAGUCUUCUUGUAAGUAACUGUGGGAUUGAAGAAAUUGUUGUCAAGGAAGAAGGACCAGAUGAGAUGGUUAAAUUUGUGUUUCCUCAUUUGACUUCCAUUGAACUUGAUAAUUUGACCAAACUUAAAGCAUUCUUUGUUGGGGUCCAUUCUCUUCAAUGUAAAUCAUUGAAAACCAUCAAGUUGUUUAAAUGUCCAAGAAUAGAGCUAUUUAAGGCAGAGCCAUUGAAACUCCAAGAAAGUUCCAAAAAUGUUGAGCAAAAUAUCUCAACUUAUCAACCUCUUUUUGUGUUUGAAGAGGUAAGAGUAGCGUUCAAUAUCAUAUCCUGCCUUUUAAUGUACAUGCACAACUUUUUAUAAUGUAUAUAUUAGACAAUUUAUUCACCAUGUCUAUUUCGUUAAUUGAAUGUUAAUGAUUAAUAAUUUUAUGUGAUAAUAUUCUACUGGCACAAGAUAUAAUGUUUUUAAUUGUUUCAAAAACUGGUAAAGAAAAUAUAUAUUUCUUAAGUAUAAUUUUGAUUUUGCAGGAGCUACUUACAAGUGUGGAGAGUACACCUCAAUUCAGAGAGUUGGAAUUAUUGCAGCUGCACAAGCUUAAAUAUAUAUGUAAAGAAGGAUUUCAAAUGGAUCCUUUUCUGCAUUUUCUUGAAAGCAUUGAUGUUUGCCAAUGUUCCAGUCUGAUAAAGUUGGUUCCGUCCUCUGUUACCUUUAGUUACAUGACCUAUUUGGAGGUAACAAACUGCAAUGGGUUGAUAAAUUUGAUAACACACUCAACAGCAAAGAGUCUUGUCAAACUCACAACAAUGAAGAUUGAAAUGUGUAAUUGGCUUGAGGAUAUAGUGAAUGGUAAAGAAGAUGAGACAAACGAGAUUGUAUUUUGCAGUUUACAAACUCUAGAACUAAUUUCUUUACAAAGACUCAUUCGAUUUUGCUCAUGCCCAUGCCCCAUUAUGUUCCCGUUGCUGGAAGUUGUUGUUGUCAAAGAAUGUCCUCGAAUGGAACUUUUUUCAUUGGGAGUUACAAACACAACAAAUCUUCAAAAUGUACAAACCGAUGAAGAAAAUCAUAGGGAGGGUGACCUCAACAGAACCAUAAAGAAAAUGUUUUUUGAUAAGGUAUAUUUUAUUAUCAUCCAUCAAUUUAUUUAGAUCAAUUUUAAGACUAUCUAUCUAGAUCAAUUUUGUAUUGUAGUAGACUAGAAUAUUAAUGCAUAAUUAAAGAUUGCUUAAAAGCAAUUUUGAUUUGUCUUUUGAUUUAUUAAUUUGAAUGAUCAGGUUGCAUUUGGUGAAUUCAAGUACUUAGCCUUAUCUGACUAUCCUGAGAUAAAGGAUUUGUGGUAUGGCCAACUUCAUCACAACAUGUUCUGCAAUUUGAAACAUCUUGUGGUGGAAAGAUGUGUAUUUUUUAUCACAUGUACUUUUUCCAUCAAAUGUAAUGCAAGUGCUACAAACAUUGGAAGAACUAGAAGUAAAAGAUUGUGAUUCCUUAGAAGCAGUGUUUGAUGUGAAAGGUAUGAAGUCACAAAAAAUAAUGAUUAAACAAAGCACUCAAUUGAAAAGAUUAACUGUGUCUAGCUUACCCAAAUUGAAGCACAUAUGGAAUGANNNNNNNNNNNNNNNNNNNNNNNNNNNNNNNNNNNNNNNNNNNNNNNNNNNNNNNNNNNNNNNNNNNNNNNNNNNNNNNNNNNNNNNNNNNNNNNNNNNNGGAUCCUCACCCUAGAAUCCACCAAUAAAUUAUAACAAAAAAAUUCGAAAUUAUAAUAUUACCUAAUUUUUUUAAUUUUGAAAAAGAUUUUAUAAAAUUUCUAGAAUAAAAUUUUCGAAAAAAAAUCUGAAUUUUUUCUAUUGAAAUUUUGGAAUAAAAAUUCUGGAAAAAGAUUAACUAUUUUUUUUAUGUUUUCAAAAAAUAUUAUCUAAAUACCGGAAAAUAUUUUCAAUUUUUUAUUUUAAAAAAAUUCAAGAAAAAUAUUUUCAGAAUUUUUAAUUCUGGAAAAAUAUUAUCUAAUGUUUUGUUUUUUUUAACUAUGAAAAAUAUUUUCCAAUAUUUUUAUUUUUUGUAUAAAAAACUGAACUUUUUAACUUCGAAAGAAAAAUCUGAACUUUUUUUGAAAUAUAUAUUCUAAUUAUUAUAAAAAAAUUGAAAUAAAUUAAGUUCGAUAAUUUUUAAUUUUUUUUUAUAAAAUAAAACUUCUUACUUUUUAAAAAAAUAUGAAUUAUUUUUAUUAUUUUUAAUUUUUCCAGAAUUUAUUAAUUUUUUUAAUAUUUCUAGAUUCUUUUUUUUUUUUUUUAAGAAUUUUUUUCCUUUUUUGAAAAAAAAGGCACAAAUGCCACAUGUACCCAUACAAAAAAUGAAAAACAAAAUUAAUUAUACAGUCUGUACGCCACAUGAUCAGAAAAAAGUGACUCUGCCCCACUAUUAAUUUGUCUCUUUAAUUAUACUAAGAGAUUUGACGCUUUAAUCCCUUUGCAUUUUUGUUUUAUUAAUUUGUCUUUCACUUUUUUGCUAUUUUCCCAUUCCUAUGGCAAAAAAAUUGGAAGUGAUGGAAAGUUAUCUCAUAUUUUCUGCAUCUUUAAUUUGUACCACACUAUUAAGAGGGUUCAUGUUCUUCAAACAUGAUCAACAUACCUUAUGAUCUUUAUUUUUUGUAAUUUAAUCUAUCUGUUCAAAUAUUACAACAAAAUAAUAACCGGUUUUCUUGACGCAUUCCAACCCAAAUUGUUAGCAAAUUCUUUCUAAAAGUUUUAACACCAUUUGGCGAAAACUUACACUAACAGUUAAUGUCGCUUCAUGUCCAAACCCGAGUUUUAACCAGAGAUUUUUUCGUAUUUUACCUACCGUAAUUAGUAUCUUUGACCACAAUAGAUAUCCCAAGGUAUCACUGUGGGCUUUGGCACUUUGGGUCUGCUAUGAGACUAAUUUUCGAAUCGGGAGCAAUUCAUCUAGUUUUUUUUUGUUAGAGGGUUUGGCUACCUCUCAAAUGGGCGACUCUAGGAAUCAAACACACUGUUCUUCUGCUCGAGAUAAUCAUCUUUCCAACUCUCCCACCAUGAUGUUGGUCGAACUCAAUUCCUUGGCUAAGAAUCUUUCAUUAAUUCAGACAUUUUAUAAUUAGAAAUUCUACCUUGAAAUUUUGUUAGGGGUCUUGCUAACCAGUACCUUAGGGACAAAGGUUAAUGAAUUUAUCAUUAGAAAUUUUAUCUUGAAAAUAUAAGUUUUGACUUUUGAUUAUAUUACACCAUUUUCUAUAAAAGGUUACUUGUUUUGGUUGUUUAUCCAAUGCUCGGGGCACUAGUUAGCAUUAUCCUUAUUAUUUUACAUGCUAUUUACUUAUAUCUUUAAUUUUUUUUUAUUGAUUAAAGAAUACUUAUACCUUUAUUUUUUUUAUUGGCUGUCAUGAUUGGUUACACAUGAUUGUAAUGAAAUUCAAUUUGCACAGUCUACCUUUAUUAUGUUCUAUUUAUUAAUUGCAGUUUUUCAUCGAAAAUAAGAGUAAUUUGUUAAUUUUCUCACAUUUUCAAAUGUUGCCCUUGUUUCUUUUGCCCUUAUCCAUAAAUAGUGUAUCUUUUUACUUUCACUUUCAGAUUUUGACUCAAGUCACAAGGAAGAGCAGAAGAAAAAAAAAAUCAAUGGAAAUUUUAAUUUCUAUUGUUGGAAAAAUAGCAGAAUAUACCGUUGUGCCUAUUGGACGUCAAACAAGUUACUUGAUAUUCUACAAAGGUAACUUCAAGACGUUAAAGGAUCAUGUUGAAGACCUUGAGGCUGCAAGAGAAAGAAUGAUCCAUUCAGUUGAAAGUGAAAGGGAAAAUGGUAAAGAAAUUGAAAAAGAUGUUCUGAAUUGGUUGGAGAAAGUGGAUGGGGUCAUUAAAGUGGCGAAUCAGCUUCAAAACGAUUCUCGCAAUGCAAAUGUUAGGUGCUCACCAUGGUCAUUCCCAAAUUUAAUUUUGCGUCAUCAACUAAGUAGGAAUGCCAGAAAAAUUGCAAAUAAUGUUGUUGAAGUUGUUCAAGGGAAAGAAAAGUUUAAUUCAGUUGGUCACUUUCCCCCUCUAGAUGUAGUAGCGUCCUCCUCAACAAGAGAUGGUGAAAAGUAUGACACAAGGGAGUCGCUUAAGGAGGACAUUGUGAAGGCUUUAGCAGAUCCUACUUCACGCAACAUUGGGGUCUAUGGGUUGGGUGGAGUGGGGAAGACCACUCUGGUGGAGAAAGUUGCUCAAAUAGCCAAGGAACUUAAAUUGUUCCAUAAAGUGGUUAAGACAGAAGUUUCUAAAAAUCCAGACAUUAAAAGAAUUCAAGGGGAGAUUGCCGAUUUCAUGGGUCUGCGAUUUGAAGAGGAGACUAUUCUUGGCAGAGCACAACGCCUAAGACAAACAAUCAAGAUGAAGAAAAGCAUCCUUAUCAUUCUAGAUAACAUAUGGACCAUACUUGAUUUGAAAGAAGUGGGGAUACCAGUUGGUGAUGAACAUAAUGGUGAUGAACAUAAUGGAUGCAAAUUGUUGAUGACAAGUAGAGAUGAAGAUGUGUUGCUUCAAAUGGAUGUCCCAAAGGAUUUCACUUUCAAAGUUAAACUUAUGCGUGAAAACGAGACAUGGAGUUUGUUUCAAUUUAUGGCAGGGGAUGUGGUUAAAGAUAGCAAUUUGAAAGAUCUACCAUUUCAAGUGGCCAGAAAAUGUGAAGGUUUGCCUCUUAGGGUAGUGACAGUAGCGCGUGCAAUGAAAAAUAAGAGGGAUGUUCAGUCUUGGAAAGAUGCAUUAAGGAAAUUACAAAGUAAUGAUCAUACAGAGAUGGACCCGGGAACUUAUUCUGCUUUGGAAUUGAGUUACAACUCAUUGGAGAGUGAUGAUAUGAGGGCUCUCUUCUUGCUUUUUGCAUUAUUCCUAGAUGAACAAAUAGAGUACUUUCUCAAAGUUGCAAUGGGGUUGGACAUAUUGAAGCAUCUUAAUGCCAUAGAUGAUGCAAGAAACAGACUUUACAGAAUAAUCAAAUCUUUGGAGGCGGCUUGUCUUUUGCUUGAAGUUAAAACAGUUGGAAAUAUCCAAAUGCAUGACUUUGUUCGUGAUUUUGCUAUCUCCAUAGCACGUAGGGACAAGCAUAUAUUUCUAAGAAAACAAUCUGAUGAGGAAUGGCCAACCAAUGAUUUUCUAAAAAGGUGCACUCAGAUCUUUCUAAAAAGAUGUCAUACACUCGAGCUUCCUCAAACGAUUGAUUGUCCAAACGUUAAGCUUUUCUAUUUGGGCAGUAACAAUUCUUCUUUCAAAAUCCCUGAUGCUUUUUUUGAGGGUAUGAGAAGCCUUAGAGUGCUAGAUUUAACGCACUUGAACUUGUUAUCAUUACCCACAUCGUUUCGGUUAUUAAGAGACCUUCAAACAUUGUGUUUGCAUCAAUGCGUUUUGGAAAAUAUGGAUGCACUAGAAGCUUUGCAAAAUUUAGAAAUUCUUUGCCUUUGGAAAUCUUCAAUGAUCAAGUUGCCAAGAGAAAUAGGGAGAUUGAUUCGAUUGAGAAUGCUUGACUUGAGCCAUUCAGGAAUAGAAGUAGUCCCACCCAACAUCAUAUCAAGCUUGACUAAAUUGGAGGAGUUGUACAUGGGUAAUACCUCUAUUAAUUGGGAAGAUGUGAGUUCAACGGUUCAUAAUGAAAAUGCUAGUCUUGCCGAGCUUCGAAAACUACCCAACUUGACAGCUCUAGAAUUACAAAUUCGUGAGACUUGGAUGUUGCCAAGGGACUUGCAAUUGGUGUUUGAGAAGCUGGAAAGAUAUAAAAUAGCUAUUGGAGAUGUAUGGGACUGGUCUGACAUCAAGGAUGGAACCUUAAAAACAUUGAUGCUCAAACUUGGUACAAACAUACAUUUGGAGCAUGGAAUUAAAGCAUUGAUUAAAGGUGUUGAGAAUUUGUAUUUGGAUGAUGUAGAUGGAAUUCAAAAUGUGCUUCCUAACCUAAAUAGAGAAGGAUUUACAUUGCUGAAACAUCUCCACGUCCAAAAUAAUACUAACUUGAAUCACAUUGUUGACAAUAAAGAGAGAAAUCAAAUCCAUUUUUCCUUUCCCAUCUUGGAAACACUAGUACUUCUUAAUCUUAGAAACUUGGAGCAUAUAUGUCAUGCUCAACCUUCGGUUGCUUCUUUUGGAAGUCUCAGUGUUAUCAAAGUAAAAAAUUGCAUCCAGUUAAAGUAUCUCUUCUCCUUUACAAUGGUUAAAGGACUUUCUCACCUUUGUAAGAUUGAAGUUUGUGAGUGCAAUUCUAUGAAGGAUAUAGUGUUCAGAGACAACAAUUCAAGUGCUAAUAUCAGUGAUGAAAAAAUCGAGUUUCUUCAAUUGCGUUCUUUGACUUUAGAACAUUUGGAGACACUUGAUAAU
rnacentral:lncRNA from 1 species